GUGCCAUGGUUAUUGCAGCCGAGGAUGCAUACUAUCUGUUGUACUAUGGAUCCCCUCUGGUUGCUUCACUUCUUGUGAUAAGAACUCUGUGCGGGGCUCCGAUUGUCUUCAUUUUUUGAUUUACAAAUGGCAAAGAAGACAUUUAUCAAUGUCUGAUUCAGUUGAAGAGUUUCUACAAGGUCACAAUAAUCUCAUGCCAAUUCGGUACUCCUACUCACAGAUUAGGAAGAUGACUAAUGAUUUCAAGGACAAAUUGGGAGGAGGCUAUGGUUCUGUAUGUAAAGGGAAGCUUCAAAGUGGCAACCUUGUUGCAGUUAAGAUGUUAGGUAAAUCUAAAGCAAAUGG
rnacentral:misc_RNA from 1 species